GAGGUAGCUGUGUCUCGCCCAGGGGCCCGGCCCAUCCGAAACUCCAACAAAAAAGAAGAAAACAAAAAAUAAAAUAAAGACAUAAAAAGAAAUUUCAGAUCAUUUUCUCCGAGCUUGGUGAGAACCCACAAGAGUUUAUGUGUAACAGACGUUACAGUGGGGAAGAGGCCUUGAACCCGGAGAGGGACUGGACUGCCCUCUCCAUGCAGAUGGCACCGGUGCUACUGCUGCAUGUCUCUCUGGCAGGAAGGUCGAUGCAGCCCCUCACUUCCUCCCCUUCCCAAGUGUCACGGGGAGUAGUUCCUUUAUAAAAUGAGAAAGGGGUAGAAGGAAGAGGGACUCAAGUCCCCAGAGGAGAAGCUUGGGGGGUAAGGGGGGGAGGAUCACUGCUCAGUGGUAAGGUGGCAUCAUCAACCUGGAUCUUCACUGCUGCUGGGCUACCUGCUGUGGGGUGGGUUCAGGGCCCCGGUUUGCCAGCCGGCUGAGGAUGUUGCGCUCUGACAUCUAUAGCCGCACAGCCACAGGGGGAAUAUGGGCAAUUGUGGCUGGCAGCCUUGUGACAUCAGCCUUCACGUCACUCAACAAUUCCUCCAGUUGUUUCAGAACUUUGUGCAGGACAGCAUUAGCUGGCUUAUUUCCUGCCAUUGACUCCUUAGACAGGUGCUGGUGGCUCUCAGCCAGGCAUUCCACUUCAGCAAAACAAGUAUUGAGGGCCAUGGAAGGAUGGGAAGGGUCCUCUGACAUGUUCAGGUAAGCUGCUCGACGCAGUUGCUCCUUAAUCACCAAGACUUGUUCCAAGAGCUUAAAUCUUCUAGCCAGGAAUUUGUUUUUUAUCUCCAAGAAGUUACCAAGAUUCAUUUCACCUUUGAAGGGUUCAUUAAGAAUGGCAUAGCGCGGGUCAUUCUGAAUGUCCUGCCACCGAGCAUAGCCAUGGUUAAUAAUGCCAGCCAGCAGCCAGUAGUCAUGCCGCCGAUGCCAGAUCUCAUAGGUCUUCUUUGUAACUGUGGCUGCCCGUUCCUCAUUCUGCCAAAGGGAAUGCAGCUCAGUGAAGCCACCAUCUGCAAUGUUGAACAUAAAACGCUGCUUGAUGUUCUUCUUCUGCUUCUCAUCACCCAGGUCCUUGGGAGUCUCCCCAUUCUGAAACAUCACUUCUUUUUUCUCUUCUUCUUUCUUCUCCUCUUUGUCUUCUACCACAAUAGGGGUCAGAUCCUCAGAUCCACUGUUGCUUUCUCCUCUACCUUUUCCGUUUCAGCAACACCUUUGGUUUCUGUCUCCAUGGUCUCCUCUGUCUUCUCUUUGACUUCUGGCUUAUCCACCUUCUCUUCUCCUUCCAGAGCCUCAGCCAGAACUUUUUCCUCUUCUGGGUUAGAUGCAGAGGGCUGUGUAGCCUCCACAGAAGCCUCAGGGGCUGCAGGUUUCACCUCUCUCUCUCCUUCUGUGUUCUCUUCUUCUUUGUUAUUAUUCUCCUCUGCUUUCACCCCAUCAUCAGGGGGUGGCACUCCUGUUGGGUUGUGUGUCUCCUGGAGUGGAAGGUGUGGGAGUUUUAGGUGAAGGUGAUCCUGGCUAUGACAUCUUCUUGUUCUCUUCUAUCUCAGCCAGCUCAGGCAUGCUCCAGCACCCAAUGACAUGCUCAAAUUCCUGAACCUUUUUUCGGAUAAGUGACAUA
ensembl:lncRNA